rnacentral:rRNA from 1 species
UACGUAGGGUGCAAGCGUUAAUCGGAAUUACUGGGCGUAAAGCGUGCGCAGGCGGUUCGCUAAGACCGAUGUGAAAUCCCCGGGCUUAACCUGGGAACUGCAUUGGUGACUGGCGGGCUAGAGUAUGGCAGAGGGGGGUAGAAUUCCACGUGUAGCAGUGAAAUGCGUAGAGAUGUGGAGGAAUACCGAUGGCGAAGGCAGCCCUCUGGGCCAAUACUGACGCUCAUGCACGAAAGCGUGGGGAGCAAACAGG